ACCGGGCCAGUGCGCGAGGUCCGAGCUGCGACCGUUACUCGCCUCCGCGGUCGGAGAGAGCUCGGGGGUCGCAGCCACACCCGCCCUUCCGACAGAGAAGGCUUUGCCUCGGCUUUCGGGAGCCCAGGCAGAGGGCGGCCGCAAGGCGGGGUGUCGGCCCUGGCUCAGGGGAAGAAAGUUUCUUAAAUAAGACGCUCAGGGAGAGUUUGUCUGAAACGAACCCUCCCACGGCACAACUGAGCCUCCUUGGGGACUUCUCCAGUCAAGAAUGACCACAGCAGUGACGGGGGGGCUGUGUCCCAGUGCCUCGGGAUCCUUCAGAAGCAGGACAGAAUUCUGACCAUGAAGGUGGAAGCAGAGGACCACUCGUAGGGGAAAGACUAUGCUGCCAGAUAAUUACAGACGGUGGCCCGAGGAGUAAGGACGAGGCGUUCAGCUCAUGUCGGGAACUUGCUGAAAGCAGAACCCACAGGUGACUUCACAGGUACCAGAGCUGGGAGACACCUCGGAAUGUUCCAGUACCUUAGACCAGCAUUAGGGAACCUUCAGAUGGGAGGCCAAGUAGCUGCCCCGCCCAAAAAAAGAAUUUCAAGCAGGAGAGAGAAGCAGCAGCCAUGACAGUGACAAAAGUGACCCACACUGCAGGCCAGACUUAAAGGAAACUCUGUGAGGAAGAACCGCGUCUCGUCCUUGGUAUUCUCCGUGGCUCCUCUGAGCACCGCAGGACUUGGGGUGGAGACUGGCUGUGGCUGUGGACGCUACGGUCCAAGAGGACGGGCUCGCCGCUCAGCGAGGUCGUGGGUGGAGGCACACCUGUGACUGAAGACGUGGCCUGCCUUCUCUGGGACGGUGGCCGGCUCAUGCAGGA